rnacentral:rRNA from 1 species
UACGUAGGGGGCUAGCGUUGUCCGGAAUCAUUGGGCGUAAAGAGCACGUAGGCGGCUGGAAUAGUCCGGUGUGAAAUCCACAGGCUUAACCUGUGAAUGCCGCUGGAAACUGUCUGGCUAGAGUCCGGAAGGGGCGAGUGGAAUUCCUGGUGUAGCGGUGAAAUGCGCAGAUAUCAGGAGGAACACCAAUGGCGAAGGCAGCUCGCUGGGACGGUACUGACGCUGAGGCGCGAAAGCGUGGGGAGCGAACAGG